GGCUUUGCUGGCUACUUAGUUUCCAUCAUUUCAGCGGCUGUUUCCCAGCGCCGCACCGAGCUGCAUAUUGACGUCCAGAAGUGACGUUAAGGCGACGGAAAUGCGCAACCGUGGCCUGAAACCUUUAUUUUGAAAACAGUGGGUCGCAAGGAAGCUGGUGCCUAUCUCCUGCAGUCUAUAGGCGGGAGGCGAGGUACACCCUGGACAAGUUGCCAGUCCAUCGCAGGGAAACACACGAACAGCCUUGCACACACUCAUUCACAGGCGAACUUUUCCUGCACACGACCAUUCCCGGAAGAGCUUGAUCCCACGGAUCCCUCUGACCACCAUCAGCAGGCAUGGCGGGUGAAGUGUCUUGCCCCAGGACACAAUGACUGAGGCGGACGGAACGGAGAUUUGAACUGGCAACAGGACAAACCCCUACCACCUGAGCCACCGUCACCCCAAACAAAUAAGAUGACCAUUGAAACUCUUUUGUACUUCGACUUUUGUACUAAUUUCCCCAAGAUUUUCCUGCUCUCCCUUGCCCACAUCCGAUACCUCACUGGCUUCUGAUUUCUGGACACGACCUUGCUUCUGCCUCCUGACCAACCCUCCCUGCCUAACCCCUGGAUCUGUCAGUCUGAAUCUGCCUUCCCAUGCAUAACUUUGUUUCUGUACCCUGGACCCAGAUUCAAGCUUCUCCCUCGGAAUCCGUUGCCCUUAUCUGCUCUCACGGCUCUGACCCAGUUUCUGUUUCCUGGUCACCACAAUCUGCUCAGUCACUGGGCUUGUAAACCCAAGUAUCUGUGGGACACUUCACAGCUGUUGCCCUGUCAACACUCUGAGGAUCCGAAAAUCAGCUUCCUGGUUCCCUUACGGAUUCUGAGAAGUUCACUACCUGAGGGAAGCUUGGCAGAAGGACCUCAUCACUGAUCAUCAAUGAACCAAGGCCCCAGGAUAAUGUUCAUUCUUCCUCAAGCUACGCUCAACACAGACUACUGCAGUUCAAAGUCCUACAUAGACUACAUUUAUCCAAGCAAUGGCUUUCCAACAUGUUGCCUGGGACAGACUUGUCCUGUGAUCAGUGUGGCCAGGGACCAACCAGCCUUAUUGGCUGAUACGUUUUGGAGUUGUUCAAAUAUAUUUACGUUUUGGACAAAGAUAUUUCAGAUGUUGUCUCAGGUUUGCCAUACAUAUUUAAGUUCAGACCCAAUUUCUGCAUAUCUGGUGUUGCUCCUGUUACGGCCAACUGCUUGAAUAAACAGAAAACAAUAUUAGCAUUUGUGACACUUCUAGUCAGGAGGCUUAUUUUGUUACAUUGGAAACAAAAAAACCCACCAUCCUAUUUUAACCUGUUAGAGGAAACAAUAUAACAUGUCCUAUUAGGAAAAAUAAAAUUUGAGUUGAAAGGCAAAAUGGGUACUUUCUAUGUUAUGUGGCAACUUUUAUUGACUAUUUUAACAAGUAAAAACACAUGAAUGUCCAAAUAUGUGACCCGUCCUGCCCCCUACUCCCAUUCUUAUGUUCUCUUUUCUAUGUUUGCCUAUUUGUUUUACUGCGGUUUGUUUGUAUGCUUUCAAAAAAGACUCAAUAAAGAGAAUAAAAAAAAAUAAAAAAA